GGCCUAAUGGCCCAAUGGCAAGGCGCUUGACUACGAUUAAAAUCCAAAAUCAAGAGAUUCCAGGUUCGACCCCUGGUUAGGUCA